rnacentral:rRNA from 1 species
AGAGUUUGAUCCUGGCUCAGGACGAACGCUGGCGGCGUGCUUAACACAUGCAAGUCGAACGGAAAGGCCCUUCGGGGUACUCGAGUGGCGAACGGGUGAGUAACACGUGGGUGAUCUGCCCUGCACUCUGGGAUAAGCCUGGGAAACUGGGUCUAAUACCGGAUAGGACCACACACUUCAUGGUGAGUGGUGCAAAGCUUUUGCGGUGUGGGAUGAGCCCGCGGCCUAUCAGCUUGUUGGUGGGGUAAUGGCCCACCAAGGCGACGACGGGUAGCCGGCCUGAGAGGGUGACCGGCCACACUGGGACUGAGAUACGGCCCAGACUCCUACGGGAGGCAGCAGUGGGGAAUAUUGCACAAUGGGCGCAAGCCUGAUGCAGCGACGCCGCGUGAGGGAUGACGGCCUUCGGGUUGUAAACCUCUUUCAGUAGGGACGAAGCGAAAGUGACGGUACCUACAGAAGGAGGACCGGCCAACUACGUGCCAGCAGCCGCGGUAAUACGUAGGGUCCGAGCGUUGUCCGGAAUUACUGGGCGUAAAGAGCUCGUAGGUGGUUUGUCGCGUUGUUCGUGAAAACUCACAGCUUAACUGUGGGCGUGCGGGCGAUACGGGCAGACUAGAGUACUGCAGGGGAGACUGGAAUUCCUGGUGUAGCGGUGGAAUGCGCAGAUAUCAGGAGGAACACCGGUGGCGAAGGCGGGUCUCUGGGCAGUAACUGACGCUGAGGAGCGAAAGCGUGGGUAGCGAACAGGAUUAGAUACCCUGGUAGUCC